UUCUCUGGUUGAAAUUGGAGCCCCGUGUAGUUUAGUGUUGAUCUGAGCUACACACCAGCGAUUGCACAAGGUUGUAUUCAAGAGAAUUUUGGAUGGUUGCGGCUGCUGCUGCUACUGGAUGCAGUUGUUUGAAUUAUAAAGGAAUUCAGUGGGUAAUGUGUCAGAAAGUUGGACAAUUUAGCUAUGGAUAUUUUCAAUAUUUAGCAACUUAAUUUUGGGUUUCAGUGUUCUAUACAUGAAUUUCUGAUGCCUUGCACUUCUAGGAGUUGUGGUUUAUUUAUGCAAACAUGAACCUUAUAUAAGUAUGUGGUGUUCCAUUGAUGUGUCCAAAUGACCUUGAAAUAUAAAAUUGAAUUGUGUAAGUGAAUUGAUGAUGAUACAUGCUUCAGUUUCUAAAGAUUGGGAAGCAAUCCUCGUGACAUUUCCAUGCGAAUCUUUUUAAAUCCACUUUUGGGUGACUCAUUUUUUAUUAUAUUGAAUUUAAAUUCACAUUGCCAUGCUAAGAUUUGUGAAAACUGUUCACUUUUUCUUUUCUGGGUGUAGCAUCUGCAGGCCUACAUGCAAUCAUUAUUUUUGUUAAGCAACAGAAUGCUACAGUUAUGUAGAGAGUUAGAGGCGAGGGGCGAUGAGAGUUGGUUUAUGUUGAUAUUCAACUGGUUGCUUCUUAUGGUUUGGUACGUCUAUAUAAUGCUCACAUGUAUUUCGCUGCAUUUGCCUAAAAAGUGUAUCCGUGUAGAUUUUCAGUUCAAAGGUUUGCAUUAAGUAUAUUUUCACUCCAUGCGCAUGAUACAUUUCUUACCACCCAAUGUGCUGUUUAGGGGAAACUGAUCCUUCUAAUCUGGCAUUCUUUUUGGUCUUCCCUGCUUUAGGUAGUUCAUGCUGACUCCUUAAUUCUUCAGUGAUAAUGAGUUAUUCAUGGAUCUAGCAACUGAUUGUAUUUGCUUUGUCUCGAGAUCAUGGAUACUUUUUUUCAUGAGAUCAUGGAUACUUGAAUGCCCUUUGUUGACAAUAUAUGGUUUCUGAUUGUUUUCAUACGUUUAUGCCUCUUCUGAGGUUGCGAAACCCAUUUAUUUUCCCAAAGAUCACUUGUGCCUACUAAGUCUUGGGAUCCAUUUUUUUUCCUAUGUGACCAAUCCCUAGAAGAACGCAUGCUCCCUAGCCAUAGAAGAAAUCAGCAGGUGGACAAAGUUCAGGGCCUGAGGCAGCAAUAGUUCUUCAAAGGCACUGGGCAAUAAUUGAUUGGUUGAAGGUAGCAUUUUCUGUCGAGCUUCAAUUGACAGGGAAGAAAUUGUUUCUAUAUGUGCCUUUGGUUUUCUUUCACUUAGGGAGUUCGUACAGUUCUUUUUUCAGGGCAAGAGAUUCUUCUGCUAGAUAAGAAAGAGCACUCUGAUUAAUUAGAUCAGAAGUUACUUUUUCCAUCGAGCUUCAGUUGACAUGGAAGAAAUUUUUUCUGUCUAUGCCUUUGGUUUUAUUUUACUUAGGGAGUUUGUAUAGUUUUUUUCAGGGGAAGAUAUUCUUCAGCUGGAUGAGAAAGAGCACUCUAAUUAAUUAGAUCAGAAGUUGCGUGUGAUGAUGAUUGCUUGUGCAGACUACAAUGGUACCAACCACCAGGCAUGGUCGUCAGUGAGGCGCCGUCAGUGGACAUGAAAAUCAUUUUGAGGAAACAGUGAACAAAAAAGUUGGGGCAUCCUGGGUAAUCAGCUUGGAGAAGCCCAGAAAAAUCUGACAGGAGUGGUGACAGUAGCAGCGGCAUGCCUGAUACAAGACCCCUGAAUAGUGAUUGGGGCAUUAAAGCCAUGAAAACAGAAUUUCACUUCGGAUAGCUGCAUGUGUACAUAUGUGGUGGAGGAACUCAACAAUUUCCAGUAAAAGUAAACGUUUUUGCAGUCAAAGGUAAUCUUUGCUACAUCUGUUAUUGAAUAUAUGCUAGGGAGGACAGUAGCAGUUUUGAGAUGUUUGUGUGUUAAAUCCAUUGUAGGCUUUCCAUCUGUGUGUUAUUCAUAAUCUUAUUGGGCUUCAAUUUUAUGUUGCAUGAUGCAGAUAAAUUUAUUGGUUAUUUAAAAUAUCAACAUAUAUUUUCUAUAUCUGGAAGGAUGGGCCACAUUGAACUCACUAAUUCAUUUACAAGCGCACAUGAACUGCUAAUACAGGCCGGUCAUGUUUUCCAACUUUUCCUUCUU